AAUUAUCUAGUACGUAACUGUGAUAUAUUCUAGAUCUAAUACUCAUCGUACCCUAGUAUAUUGUACUCAUUAGUACUUCUGUAUUUGUUGAGGCAACCUUUACUUGACGUGAGCACAGCAUUCCGUCUCCGUUGCUAAAAACAGUAGUCCGGUUUUUCACUUUCCCCGCAGAAAUCUCAGAUCCAAAAAGACGCUCCAUUCAUCCUCCCUCCUAAAAAAAUAAUUAAAAAAAAGAAAAAAACCUCAAUGCUAAAUUAAAUCCGCCGCCUUCUCCGUUUCAGCUGCUUCGAAAACUCUUUGCGGCGUCUCCGCCAUCGUUUUGAGCUUCGCCGCCUCUUCCUUUUGGGGACACGGAUUAGCAAGCACAAGCUCAACAACUCAACCACUACCAUCCCAAAUUCUAUUCCGGGACAAAUCCGACAUCCUGCACUGUACUACUGUCGUGAUUUUGGUAGAGGGCAUCCUACAAGGCCCAAAGACUUAGCCGAAGUGUUAACACUGUACUGCUGUGUGAUUUUGAUUAAAUAGGCACUCACUAUAUUAUAUAUAGUUCGAAAAAUAGUCCAUGUUUUGGAAAA